rnacentral:misc_RNA from 1 species
AAUAAUUACAUAAAAUUGUUUCAAAAACUGAGAACCGAACCGAAACCGAAGAUCCAUACCAAAUUGGAACCAAAACAACAAAAAAUCACACCAGAACAGUACCAAAAUUUUGGUUCGGUUUGGAUUACUAAACAGACCUCGAACUGAACGGAAACUACAUACCACUUAACUAUUAAGGACUUUUUUCUUAGUAGCACAGAUAUUAAAUCAACUCUUUAUAGAAGCAUCAGUAUUAAGUGAAAUAAUACACAAAACCUGUUGUGUGUUUAUAU